AGCGAACGCUGGCGGCAGGCUUAACACAUGCAAGUCGAGCGGGCGUAGCAAUACGUCAGCGGCAGACGGGUGAGUAACGCGUGGGAACAUACCUUUUGGUUCGGAACAACACAGGGAAACUUGUGCUAAUACCGGAUAAGCCCUUACGGGGAAAGAUUUAUCGCCGAAAGAUUGGCCCGCGUCUGAUUAGCUAGUUGGUAGGGUAACGGCCUACCAAGGCGACGAUCAGUAGCUGGUCUGAGAGGAUGAUCAGCCACAUUGGGACUGAGACACGGCCCAAACUCCUACGGGAGGCAGCAGUGGGGAAUAUUGGACAAUGGGGGCAACCCUGAUCCAGCCAUGCCGCGUGAGUGAUGAAGGCCCUAGGGUUGUAAAGCUCUUUUGUGCGGGAAGAUAAUGACGGUACCGCAAGAAUAAGCCCCG
rnacentral:rRNA from 1 species